rnacentral:rRNA from 1 species
AGAGUUUGAUCCUGGCUCAGAUUGAACGCUGGCGGAAUGCUUUACACAUGCAAGUCGAACGGUAGAGGGGGCAACCCCUUGAGAGUGGCGAACGGGUGAGUAAUAUAUCGGAACGUGCCCAGUCGUGGGGGAUAACGUAGCGAAAGUUACGCUAAUACCGCAUACGAUCUAAGGAUGAAAGCGGGGGAUCGCAAGACCUCGCGCGAUUGGAGCGGCCGAUAUCAGAUUAGGUAGUUGGUGGGGUAAAGGCUCACCAAGCCAACGAUCUGUAGCUGGUCUGAGAGGACGACCAGCCACACUGGAACUGAGACACGGUCCAGACUCCUACGGGAGGCAGCAGUGGGGAAUUUUGGACAAUGGACGCAAGUCUGAUCCAGCCAUUCCGCGUGCAGGAUGAAGGCCCUCGGGUUGUAAACUGCUUUUGUACGGAACGAAAAGGUUUGUCUUAAUACGAUGAGCUCAUGACGGUACCGUAAGAAUAAGCACCGGCUAACUACGUGCCAGCAGCCGCGGUAAUACGUAGGGUGCAAGCGUUAAUCGGAAUUACUGGGCGUAAAGCGUGCGCAGGCGGUUAUGUAAGACAGAGGUGAAAUCCCCGGGCUCAACCUGGGAACUGCCUUUGUGACUGCAUAGCUAGAGUACGGUAGAGGGGGGAUGGAAUUCCGCGUGUAGCAGUGAAAUGCGUAGAUAUGCGG